rnacentral:rRNA from 1 species
GAUGAACGCUGGCGGCGUGCCUAAUACAUGCAAGUCGAGCGAACGGACGAGAAGCUUGCUUCUCUGAUGUUAGCGGCGGACGGGUGAGUCACACGUGGAUAACCUACCUACAAUACUGGGAUAACUUCGGGAAACCGGAGCUAAUACCGGAUAAUAUUUUGAACCGCAUGGUUCAAAAGUGAAAGACGGUCUUGCUGUCACUUAUAGAUGGAUCCGCGCUGCAUUAGCUAGUUGGUAAGGUAACGGCUUACCAAGGCAACGAUGCAUAGCCGACCUGAGAGAGUGAUCGGCCACACUGGAACUGAGACACGGUCCAGACUCCUACGGGAGGCAGCAGUAGGGAAUCGUCCGCAAUGGGCGAAAGCCUGACGGAGCAACGCCGCGUGAGUGAUGAAGGUCUUCGGAUCGUAAAACUCUGUUAUUAGGGAAGAACAUAUGUGUAAGUAACUGUGCACAUCUUGACGGUACCUAAUCAGAAAGCCACGGCUAACUACGUG